rnacentral:piRNA from 1 species
UGACAAUAUGCCAAGGAACAGACUUCCAAC